CUUUGCUUCUAUUGUCCCAAGGAUUUACAAGUUUCCUUCAGUGCUUUCAGUUCCUUCUUCCACAUACAUUCAUGAUGGGGAAUGCCUAACAGGGCUGUCUGUGCAAUGGGCAGGGACCGGACUGGGCAGGUAGAUUCUCUAACAUUCUUAAACUUCUCCAGUAGCUCCAGUGCUCCAGGCCAUGGCAGCAUUGCCUCCCCUCAACUCGUCGGCUUCUCCUGGGCUUGUUUAUUCUAGGCCUUUUGUAGUCUUGCCUGCUGCUUCUACACAGCCUUGCUUCUUGAAUAUGAGGCGCUGCUGAUUUGGGAUUUGAGAUGACAAGCCAGGUGAAGCUAAGUGGAUCACGUUUGUUUGAGCCAAUGUGCAUGCAGGUCAGAGACUCAGAGGGUGGACAAAGUAUUGGUUUGAAAAGUAGCCACCUUUCUCUUUUUCUAAAACUACUUGCAUUUUUUAAGUCAGGCCUCAGAGGGACUGGAAACAUUCUUCUUUACAGACCCCAUCAGUGAUUCGUGAGAGCAUUUGUUCUAGAUUUACUCAGCUCUGCAGCUGAAAAAUGCAGCAGGCAGAAAGCUAACUUUGGAACUGUUGGAGGGCUUACCCCCUGACACCAGCAUACAUUUUCUUUCCUAGCUGAGGACGAAUUAUAUAAAGGACCACAUGGAAAAACUUCACUGGAAAAGAAAUAAAGUAUGCCUAAGCUUAUACUCAGCUGGCCAAGAGGGGCCUAUUGUAGCCAGCGGAUAAAUUAAAUAUUGACAAGACAAGAAGAUCGCUCAAUGAAAGGGGAGUGCCGCGGGACUUGGCACUGAGGACCACUGAGUUCAUCCAUAGCUUUGUCCAGGAUCACUUUUCGACCUUGGCAUGUGGACUCCUGGUCAUGGCCCCAAAUGCUUGAGCUCCAGCCUUCCUGGCCACACACUCCAGGCAGCUGGAAGGAAGAAGAGAAGGAUGGGCUGAAGCCCCAUCCCUUUAGGAACACCUUGCUUUACACUUCUGCUCUCAUCCCAUUGGCUGAAACUUAGUGACAUGCCACAUGACUGCAAAGGAAGCUGGGAAAUCCAGUCUUUACCCUAGAGGACCAUGUGUGCAGUUAAAAAUGUGGGAUUUUAUUGCUAAAAAAGAAGAGGAGAACAGAGAUUGAAAACAGCACUCUGCCACAUUCUGUGCUGAAGACUACAGAAGGUUUGCUGCAUAGAGACAAUACCAACAAAUUAUAAUGACCCUUUAUAGCUCUACUAUGUUCCUCCUCAUUAAGGGACUCAUUAAUACCCUUCCCCUGGGUAGCUGAGGGAUUAAUUCCUGUAGACUCUGAAUUUGUCUCUCUUUGACCAACAUUGUUCUUGUUUGCCCACAAUGGGAUGUCUAAUUCUCAACUUAGGACCGCUGUUACUGACCUCAGAGUGUUUUUAAAAUGUUCCUUUUAAAAAUAUUGUAAGGCAAUGUAUGUUUAUUGUAGAAAUUUUAGAAAAUUCAGAAAAAUAUGAAGAAGAAAGGAAUCCAACCAUAAUCUCACUAUCACAGAUACUUUCUAUUAAUAUAAUUACAUAAUAUAAACAUUUGGAAGUAUAUUUCUUCAAACCUUUUUUUUAACCUUUUACUAAACAUUUUAAAAAUAAUGCAUAGUAUAUCAUUUAGGUAAAAGAUUCAAGUGAUACGUAAGUAUACACGGCAAAACAUGAAGGUCAUACCAUAGCAUCCUUUACUUUGACUCAUUCAUUUAUCUAAUCAUUCAAAAAUACUGAGUUUUAAUUAUAGAGUUAUAACAGUAAUUAUGACAGAUGCAUACCUGUCCUUACAGUGCUUACCUUCUAGAGUGGUACAAAGACCACUUAUGAGAGGGAAAAAAGAUGAGCUAGAGAGGGUUCCUUCAGGUAUGGGUGGUGGUAAUGCUUUUGCAAGUCACAGAAAGCCUAGGGACUCUAACCAAACAUCCAGAGGCACAGUUUGACUCAGCCAUUCAAAUGACAUUAUCAAAGAACUGGGUGCUUGCUCCAAUUAUUGGCUUAGCUACCUCAGCAUUGGUACUGUUCUCAGUUGGGCUCCAUUCUCCCUGACAUGAGAUAUCCUACAGCAACAGCUAGUACUGUAACUUUUCUCAUUCCUAGCUGUUACCUCAUCAACCCUACAAACCAUAGAAUGAAAUUUCAUUGUUCUACUUGAACUGACCUGGCCCAUUCCUAAAUCAAUAGUUUUAGCCAGGAAGAUGGAAUACAUUGAUUGGCUUAAGCUAGUUAUGACCCAUUCCGGGAACUGAACAUGGGAUUAGUCCUAUCAAAGCCACUUGAAAAGGAAAAUUGUGGUCCAUUUAGGAAGAGAAGCAAGAAAAUUGUUACUAUGUGGUGGAGGUGGAUGGCUAAUGAUCACUAUACGAAUAACGACGCUUCAUGGAUGAGAACGAGGCAGCCUCCUGAAGAGUCAAAGGAAAAGUGUUUUAAAAAAGAAAAAGGUUCUGUGAGUUGAGAGAGAGGCUGGCAUGUUCAAAAUAUUAGAAAGCCAGAAUUGCUGGGUGAGAGAGAGGUGAGACAUUGUGAUUGUCAUCCUUCCAGUCAUGUUUUCUAUGUAAAACAAAUAUUUUUUCUUUCUCUACUUAUAAUGAAAAUCAUGUUCUAUGAAUUGUUUUCUGACUGGCCUUUCUCACUGACAAAGAAAAAUGCCUAACAAUCCUGCACAUGUACCCCUAAACCUAAAAUAAAAGUUAAAUAAAAGAAAAAUGCCAUGCAAAUGUUUUUGUGUCAGUACAUAAAGAUUUAUGAUAUUCUUUCUGAAGGCAGUGGUUAUGUGUAUCAACAGUUUUUUUGAAC
rnacentral:lncRNA from 1 species